AUUGAACGCUGGCGGCAGGCCUAACACAUGCAAGUCGAGCGGAGCGUCGUACGGGGCAGUAAUGCCUAGGAAUCUGCCUGGUACUGGGGGAUAACGUCCUGAAACGUGCGCUAAUACCGCAUACUAUCAGAUGAGCCUAUGUCGGAUUAGCGAGUGGGUGGGGUAAAGGCCUACCCAGGCGACGAUCCGUAACUGGUCUGAGAGGAUGAUCAGUCACACGGGAACUGAGACACGGUCCAGACUCUUACGGGAGGCAGCAGUGGGGAAUAUUGGACAAUGGGCGAAAGCCUGAUCCAGCCAUGCCGCGUGUGUGAAGAAGGUCUUCGGAUUGUAAAGCACUUUAAGUUGGGAGGCGUUACCAACAGAAUAAGCACCGGCUAACUUCGUGCCAGCAGCCGCGGUAAUAC
rnacentral:rRNA from 1 species